AUAUACUGGGAGAAGUGUCCAUAGUUUUUAAAAUUAAUAUAUCCAUUUAACCUAUAGGCUCUUUUGGAGAACUGUCUCCUGAGAUUGGAAAAUAAUAGCCUUUUUCGUCAGUAUUUGGAAUUGGAAGGUUGUAUUACAAUACCUCAGGAUUUGGUCAAGAUUAUGACUCAAUGCCCUUUUGAAUCUCUGAGAAAGAAGACCCUUAAGAUUUUGCAGCUGUAUUUAGAUAAGUUUGAUGAAGAGGGAAAAUACAUAUUAUUUAGGUAUGU